rnacentral:rRNA from 1 species
GACCUCAAAUCAGGUAGGGCUACCCGCUGAACUUAAGCAUAUCAAUAAGCGGAGGAAAAGAAACUAACAAGGAUUCCCCUAGUAACGGCGAGCGAACCGGGAUGAGCUCAAAUUUGAAAUCUGGCGCCCUCCGGACGUCCGAGUUGUAAUCUAUAGAAGCGUUUUCCGUGCCGGACCGUGUCCAAGUCCCUUGGAACAGGGUAUCAAAGAGGGUGACAAUCCCGUACUUGACACGACGACCGGCGCUCUGUGAUACGUUCUCUACGAGUCGAGUUGUUUGGGAAUGCAGCUCAAAACGGGUGGUAAAUUCCAUCUAAAGCUAAAUAUUGGCGAGAGACCGAUAGCGAACAAGUACCGUGAGGGAAAGAUGAAAAGCACUUGGAAAGAGAGU